ACGAACGCUGGCGGCGCGCCUAACACAUGCAAGUCGAACGAGCGAGAGAGAGCUUGCUUUCUCGAGCGAGUGGCGAACGGGUGAGUAACGCGUGAGGAACCUGCCUCAAAGAGGGGGACAACAGUUGGAAACGACUGCUAAUACCGCAUAAGCCCACGGUGCCGCAUGGCACAGAGGGAAAAGGAGCAAUCCGCUUUGAGAUGGCCUCGCGUCCGAUUAGCUAGUUGGUGAGGUAAUGGCCCACCAAGGCGACGAUCGGUAGCCGGACUGAGAGGUUGAACGGCCACAUUGGGACUGAGACACGGCCCAGACUCCUACGGGAGGCAGCAGUGGGGAAUAUUGCACAAUGGGGGAAACCCUGAUGCAGCGACGCCGCGUGGAGGAAGAAGGUCUUCGGAUUGUAAACUCCUGUUGUUGGGGAAGAUAAUGACGGUACCCAACAAGGAAGUGACGGCUAACUACGUG
rnacentral:rRNA from 1 species